GUAAGGACGACCUCAGCGACCUAUCCAAUUCAGGGGACAGCCUC
rnacentral:sRNA from 1 species